UUGAAAGUCGUACCCUAUAGAUAACACUAACACCCGUGCUGAUUUCGUUAAUUCAUUUGGGCAGCCUCUCUGUUCCAAAACCCUAAUCCUUCGUCUUCCAAGGAGAUGGCUGAUUCUCCCCUCGCAAGGAACUCAAGGUCACCUUCCCCAUGGAAAGCUCAGUCGAGAUCGAGAUCUAGGUCAAGGUCGAGAUCUAGGUCGAGGUCUAGGCCUAGACAAAGGCCAAGAUCGCGUUCUAGAAGUCGUGGCAGGUCAAGGUCACCAAUUCGUGGAAGGUCAAGGUCACCAAUUCAUGGAAGGUCUGAACCUACAAAUCCUGGUGACACACUUUAUGUAACUGGUCUAUCUUCGAGGGUCACCGAAAGAGACCUAGAGGAGCAUUUCUCCAAGGAAGGAAAGGUUUCUUCAUGUUUUCUUGUGGUGGAGCCCCGUACACGGAUUUCUCGUGGUUUUGCUUUUGUUACAAUGGAAUCUGCUGAAGAUGCGGAGCGCUGUAUCAAGUAUCUCAAUCAAUCAGUUUUAGAGGGUCGUUACAUCACUGUUGAGCGGAAUGAAUUGCAUCAGCUAUGUUGGCAGCGAUCAGAUGAUCAGUUCAUCCAUGUGAACUUUAGUGAAACAGCUUGAUCAAUGGCAAACUUAAACAGCUAAUCAAAUGCGUCUGAUCAACUAAACAUAGCAACUAUAUUGCCCAACAACUUUACAACUUCAGCAUUCACUUUCAACUCUCUACUAAACAACGGACAUUAUCAACAACUUUCUAAUCAGGCUUUUAUGUCACGAAGAAAACGUGCAAGAACUCCAACCCCAGGGCACUAUCUUGGACUGAAAAACACAAGGGAGUAUGGCUAUCGUGGUGACCGAGGUGGUGACCGGGGAAGGUAUCGCGAUGGUCCUGACCGUGACAAUUACUCACGUCGUAGGUCUCCGAGGCGUUCACCAUACAGAGGUGGCCAAGAUUAUUCUCCCCAGCGCUCACCCUAUGGUGGAAGGUCUAGGAGGGAAAGGUCUAGGUCACUUCCUUAUUCUCCACAUGGUAGCCCAGACAGGAAGUAUGCUCGCGGAUCUAGGUGAUGUUUAUCUUAGCAUUCUACUAUUUGAACAAGGUAAGCAAAAAUUUGUUGACUAUAUGGUGCUGUGACUACCAGUUUGCGCCUAUAUACAAUGUAUACGUUUAUUGGUGGAAGCUGCUGUUCCUGUGUGACUAUCAGUGUGCCUUUUCUCGAAGUCACACAGAAAGUUAGAGUGGACAAAAGUGUGGAAAUCUGAAUUUGAAGUAUGUAAGCAUUUGCUAUAGGGAAUUGAGACUCUGGCUUAAAAAAAUUUUCUGUGUGCGUAUGCCUCAAACGUUUUUGCA